GCGAGAGCUUUGUUCACGUGCGUUUCCAGUGGGUGUGUUGCUGUCUAGGGGCACUCGCGUGGCAAGACGCCCGUGGCUGGCUUCCAGCGCCCAGAUUCAAGGAUGGGAAGGAGCCCUAGCGUUUCAUCCGGACCAGACCCAUCCCUCGGAGUCUAUUUUUUGCCUCCAGUUACCGGAUUUAUUGAAGUUGCCAGCGAAGUUGGUUUUAUUCCUUUACUUCUCUGCUCUCCGCCCCCGUCCACAUCCCCCAACCCUGUAUUAUUUCCUGUCCUAGCUGCGCUUUAAAGAUUCGGAACGCUUCACUCGUUCUAGCUACAGAUUUUAACUGUGUUCCGUGUGCGAGACGAAUUGUGGAGGGCACCCACCCACCCAUGCCAAGUGUAAAUGAAACCGCAAGAAAAGCUGCCUCCCACUCACCCAUCUAGUGUCCGAGUAAGCCUAAUGACACACAUUCACAUAACUAAGAAGACACCGGAAGAUAGGGGUGCGGAGGACGGAGUUUGAUGUGUGAAUGGGAAAUGGAGAGAGAGGAGAGCGCGCGCGAGAGACAGCGCGAGCCUGAGCCUUAGAAUGGAAUAAACGGGAAACACACACAAGAAUGACGACGCAAAAAUGUAUCUAAGUCCCAACAUUGACAGCAGCAGGUCAGCUUUAAGCGCCUACAUUUUGAUCCGCGAAAUUUCCCAGCUUUUUUGGAGGCGGUUACAUAGAGAAUACAGGAGCCUCUGCCUUGGCCGCCCAGAUGCUUUGCAUUUUAUAAACAGCUUUGACUAAGUGCUCUGGACUUCCAAGAAGUUAACUGGAGUGGAAGGCGAGUCAUAUUGUGGAUGCAGAAUGGAAGCUUAGACAAGAAAAAACAGUCAGCAGAGCGCCUCUGCUGUCACCGUCACACCCAAAUGAGCCAGGACGUCGCUCAGGGCGCAAACUGAGAUCCACACACGGACAUCUUCAACCGAAUCCUUCUUCUGUCUCCAUUCCAGACUAAGGAAAGAAGAAAGAAAUACGGAGCCUUUAUAGAGCAUUCAGAGGCUACACACAUGGAUCUUGCUGAAACGGAGUUAUUUAAAAACAGAGAAAGUGUGUUUUCCCAUGAGAUAGAUGUUAUACUUUCUCUCUGAAACAUACCCAAGUCUAUGGGUGUCAAUAAUAGCCAUUUCAAAUGCCUCUCUGAGCCUUGCCAGCCCCAGAAGAGGCUGUGGGAAUGCUGCUUCCAGCUUUCCCUGUGCAGAACUCCGUUGUAAAUCCUUCUGAGUUUCCAAGGUGGCAGCAGAGCAUAGGGAUAGCUCCUCAAGCUCCAGCAUCAACAAGGAAGAUCACAUUUUAGGACAAAUACUCAUCUACCUGCGUUUAAACAUCCAUUUUCAUAUGUUACAAGAUGAUUAUGCGUGAACAAAAACAGAAGGUACAUACUGGCAGGAAACAAAAGCACGUUAAACCAUGGAGAUUUCCUCUUACAUAAACCUGCCAUUUGUUAAGCAGUUGCUCUCUGUUCCACAGGGAAGCUGGCAAAAACUUGAUACAAACAUUCUCCAACUGCACUGGGAGGAAUAAGUGAAGGUAACACCUUUUUAAGAAGGGCAUACAAAGAGAUAAAAGAUCUACCCAGGGACUUAUUCAAACGUAGAUGCUAACAUUGUACAAAAUGUUACCGAGUCUACCUAUAUCUAACUAUAGCUCUGAUAAAGAGGGAAGUGAUGUUUUAAUCUGGGAAAACACACUUAAUCAAACAUGUAAAUGAGAUUCUGAAUUAAAAUUCAUAUGUACUCUCUCUCAGUAUCUAUCAACGUGCUAGAAAAAUAAAAUUGCCUUCUUUGGAAGGACAGGGGCAAUUUUCAAGAGUGCUUAUUCACAGAAAAAAAUGAAUAUUUGCACUCAAACUUUAUGCAGUUAGAAAGAGCUCUGAGCUUGGUCUUGGAAGAUCUUACUUCAUGUCUCCAUCUUACCAGGGAAAUCACGUAACUGCUCUGAGCCUCAGCAUCCCUUUUAUCAAAGAAAAAAAGUGUAAUAAAGAUCAUCUGUUAGGGUAGGUAUGAAAAGAUCAAGUAAAGUGAGGUGUUUCAAAGCUCAAAAUAAGAAUAAGCUGUCAUUAUUUAUAUAAUUAAUGUGUUUAUAUAAUAUAUAAAUGAUUUAUGUAUUUAUAUAAUUUAUAUAAUUAAAUAAUAUAAAUUAUAUAAACAUAAUUUAUAUAAUUAAUGUGAACACAAUUUAGUGUGAGAUAUAUUUUAGUUCAUCUAACUUUCAGCCACUUCAUGGAGUUUUAAUUGCAUUGCUACUUCCUGCUUUGUUGGUACCCUUGUUCCAUAUAACCUCUGAGAGCUUCAAAGGUGUAGAGCUGCUUAGUUCCUGCACAGUUAACUCUGCAGUGCUUUCAGGUGCCACCAUUUGCUACCCUAGAAAUAAACUUGACCUACCCUAGAAAUAAACUUCCUCAAACCAG
rnacentral:lncRNA from 1 species